AUGGCAGUCUCAUGUGCUUUAGGAGCAAUAAUCCAAGAGAAUGAGGAAAGAUUAGACAGGUUCUCCUCCUCCUCCUCCUCCUCCAUCUUGUCAUUUCAGUUACGUUUCAAAGAGUUACCUGAUCAUCUUCAACAGUGUUUAAUGUACUGUUCCAUCUUCCCUGAGAGCUACCUGCUUUCAAAAGCGGCACUUAUCCGAUUACUAGUGGCCUAAGGAUUGAUAGAAGAAAAGGCAGGGAGGAUUCUGGAGGAUGUCGCAGAAGAAUAUAUAUGUGAAUUGAUCAACCAGCGACUGCUUCGAGUAAAGGAUGAACUUGAUCGGAGAAGAGGGACACAGUUAAGGGUCCCCUGUCGUCUUCAAAAGUUCUGUCUUGACCAACUGAAGGAAGGAAAGUUUGCAGCCUUAAAGGUUUUCAUUUGUUCAGACAUCAGACAACUCAUAUCUCAAACGAACAAUCUUCAACUAACUGCUUUGUUCCUGCUAGAAAAGGAAGAUCUCUCUCAACAUGAUGGUAGUUGGCUACAAUUUGAUGGUGUGAACACUGUAAGAGUGCUUGAGCUGAAAGAUACCAAAAUCAAGAAGUUACCAGAUGAAGUGGGAGACCUGAAACACCUCAGGUAUCUUGGCUUGAAAAGCACCGAUAUAGAAGAGCUUCCAGAGGGACUAGGCAGAUUAGAAGCCUUGCAAACUUUGGAUAUUAGAUGGUGUGGGGAUUUAACAGGCUUGUCAGCUGAGAUACUCAAUCUUGUAAGGUUGAGGCACGUCAAAAUGUACAAGACCAAAGGCGUUUGUGGGAUGAAGCUACCAGUAGGAAUAGGAAAACUCAGAGAUCUUCAGACAUUGACAGGUAUAUACGCUGGUGGUGGAACUGCAGCUGAAGUAGGUAACCUGAUAGGGCUCAGAAGACUCGGAGUGAUGGAUGUGGAUGAAGAGAAUGUCACUGAGCUAUUUGCCUCUAUCGAGAAGAUGCUGUGCCUUCUUUCCUUGUCUUUAGAAGCAAAGUACAAGUAUCCUCAGGAAAAACUUGUCCUCUUGGAGUCAUUCUCACCUCCACCAUUUCUUCAAAAGCUUCGCCUUGAGGGAAUACUAGAAAAGCUACCUGCUUGGUUUGGUUCCUUGGAAAGGCUCACAAGCUUAAGAUUAGGUUUCUCCCAUUUGUCUGAGAACCCAUCAUUGGUGCUUCAAGUCCUACUCAACUUGAAAAGCUUAACCCUUUGGGAGGCUUAUGAUGCAAAGCAAACAGGGAAAGAGUUCUGUGGUGCUGGUGGAUUUUUCAAGCUCGAGAUUCUCAUCAUUGCUUCUCCUGUUCUCGAGGAGUGGACAGAACUUGAAGAGGGAGCACUACCUAGCUUGAGGUACCUCCACUUGCACAGUUGUGUGCGCCUGAAAAUGUUACCUGAAGGUUUGCAGUCCCUCACCAAACUGGAGCAGUUGCAUUUGCUGCCUAUGAUGGAUGAUCAUGCAGAACGGCUGAAACCUGAUGGUGGGGUGGAGUAUUACAAAAUUAGGCACAUUCCAGAGAUAUCAUACAUUACCAAUUCUAUGAUACAAGAAAUCGUGAAAACUGGAGAAGGAGGAAUAGAAAUGCUGCAAGGAUAA